GUACUCUCACACUCUAAUUAUGGAGAAGUGGACUUGGGUGUUGCUGCUUUGCUGUGGCUCAUCUCAAAUAUGCUAGUGCAACUCAUGGUUGGAUAUAGUACAGCGUGAUAAGUAUCUUCGCUGGCACCUCAUGAAGAGGGUGUCCGAUUGGGAGCUCUGUGCUUCAAACCGUCCGAUCCGGGACAAUUUAUGACA
rnacentral:misc_RNA from 1 species